GCGCCUCUAGCUCAGCUGGAUAGAGCAUCUGACUACGGAUCAGAAGGUCGGGCGUUCGAAUCGCUCGAGGCGCGCCA
rnacentral:tRNA from 1 species